rnacentral:rRNA from 1 species
UAGUUGUAUGGCGACCGGCGCACGGGUGAGUAACACGUAUCCAACCUGCCGAUGACUCGGGGAUAGCCUUUCGAAAGAAAGAUUAAUACCCGAUGGCAUAGUUCUUCCGCAUGGUAGAACUAUUAAAGAAUUUCGGUCAUCGAUGGGGAUGCGUUCCAUUAGGUUGUUGGCGGGGUAACGGCCCACCAAGCCUUCGAUGGGUAGGGGUUCUGAGAGGAAGGUCCCCCACAUUGGAACUGAGACACGGUCCAA